UAGGGAAUCUUCGGCAAUGGACGAAAGUCUGACCGAGCAACGCCGCGUGAGUGAAGAAGGUUUUCGGAUCGUAAAACUCUGUUGGUAGAGAAGAACGUUGGUGAGAGUGGAAAGCUCAUCAAGUGACGGUAACUACCCAGAAAGGGACGGCUAACUACGUGCCAGCAGCCGCGGUAAUACGUAGGUCCCGAGCGUUGUCCGGAUUUAUUGGGCGUAAAGCGAGCGCAGGUGGUUUAUUAAGUCUGGUGUAAAAGGCAGUGGCUCACCAUUGUAUGCAUUGGAAACUGGUAGAC
rnacentral:rRNA from 1 species